GUUUCACCUCAUGAGCAGGGUUCAAGCACUCUUGACUUUUUGAUAAGUAGAGAUCACUAUCUCGUCUUCCAGUCCAUUCCCCUCCCCAGCCUUCUCCAUCCCCCUCAGAAUUUAGCUUAGUUCAUCACAGUGAGUGGGUGAUGGAGGUGAAAUAUUUUUAGCAAAUAUAUCUUGUGAUAAACUAUCCCAGUUGUAAUGCAGAGUAUUUUGGAGCAGCUUGGUCUUGAGGGCAAUAUGCUUUUUUAAAAGUCCUGUUUUUGGUGGAGAUGAAAGCUGCCAAAAUUGACUUGUUGAUAUGGAUCAACAUCUGUGUUGUGGAUGUGGGAACUCUGCCAUUACACUAGGGGUGGUCAAAGUGUCCAGACGUUUGUUGCAUUGCAACCCCUAGUGUUCCUCAUCCCUGGUUAUGCUAGUUGGGGCUGAUGGGAGGUGCAGUCCAACAAUACCCAGGGGGCUGCUUUUUGCUCACUUCUAAGCUACAUGGCUGCUCAUGAAUUGACACACAAUUCAUGUGUGUACAGGGCAAUGUUGAAAGCUGCAGGAUGCAGAGUAAACAUUGUGCUCUUGGUGAGAUUGGGUCAUUUCCUUCUAUGUAGAACGGGUCUGCCCCCCCCCCCCCCGUGUUGCUUAAAAGAUUUGGGUAGUUUGGAAAGGGGGGAAGAGAAGGCAGAAAGGACUUUUUUUUAAACAGAAGCAGCAGACAAGCUGAGUGAAGUCAUGGUGGAAGCCCAAGCUCUCUCACAUAAUUGAGGCAAUAAUUUAGGGGCAACAUCUGAAGAAGGUCUAAAGAGGAUUAGGGGGAAAGAUGGAGACAGCACCUCUGUUGCAGAAAUUUCUCAGGGUUCAGCCCAGAGCUUUUGGGGCAGUACUGGUGGUCCUUGGAUUGGUUCAGUCAGCCUUGGGAGGCCUCUUUCUCGUCUUCCACUGUUCCUACACAGACUACCUUGGCAUUCAUUUCUUCUCAGGGAUCUCGCUGUUCCUAGCUGGAAUCGUUGCUAUUAUAGUUGACCAAGUCCCCCGCAUUGGCUUGGUGAAAACUUGUCUCAUCUUCCACAUUGCGGCAGCUGCAGUUGCUGUUGUGAUCAAUUAUCUCUAUGUAAGAGAUAUACUCUAUUAUAUCUCGAUCUUCUGCACCUUCACUGACCAGGUCCAAAGUGGCUGCAAAGUGGCUGAGCGGGUUAUGUUCUACUGCAGAGCACUGAGAGGAAUUGCUUUUGCCACUGGAGCAGUGGGCGUCUGCCUCACCGUUUGUCUCGCAGCCUUUAUCUGUCGAACCAUCUGUUACCACAGCUCUGAUGACACUGCGCCGGUCAUCGGGCUCCAUUUACAAGAUGGCAAGAGAGAUACAGAGUAAAAGCCAGGCGUGCCAGUCUCAGAAGUGAUGCUGAGGAAUUCUUCUGAGGAACACUCAAGAAGAUCUUUAAUCAGGAUCCUAUUGUGCUGCUGUUCUCCACUACUGUUUCCUAGCAAUCUUCUGUAUCAUGUAAACAAUAAAGUAUUACCAAGGUGCA
rnacentral:lncRNA from 1 species